CCUACGGGUGGCUGCAGUGGGGAAUAUUGCACAAUGGGCGCAAGCCUGAUGCAGCCAUGCCGCGUGUGUGAAGAAGGCCUUCGGGUUGUAAAGCACUUUCAGCGGGGAGGAAGGCGGUGAGGUUAGUAACCUCAUCGAUUGACGUUACCCGCAGAAGAAGCACCGGCUAACUCCGUGCCAGCAGCCGCGGUAAUACGGAGGGUGCAAGCGUUAAUCGGAAUUACUGGGCGUAAAGCGCACGCAGGCGGUCUGUCAAGUCGGAUGUGAAAUCCCCGGGCUCAACCUGGGAACUGCAUUCGAAACUGGCAGGCUAGAGUCUUGUAGAGGGGGGUAGAAUUCCAGGUGUAGCGGUGAAAUGCGUAGAGAUCUGGAGGAAUACCGGUGGCGAAGGCGGCCCCCUGGACAAAGACUGGCGCUCAGGUGCGAAAGCGUGGGGAGCAAACAGGAUUAGAUACCCGUGUAGUC
rnacentral:rRNA from 1 species